CCUUUGUUGUCAAAAGAUGGGCUGAAUUCAAAUAGCCCUAUUAGGAAGACGUCAUCCUGAUUGACAGCUCCCUCUGCCUCUGACUAGCAAUCAGUGUGGCCGGAGGCAGUCCUUGUUGUAGUCUUCUGAAGGAAGAGAGUGGCAAUUGCCAUUUUGUUCACUCUUGGACAGUGUGCUGAGAGCAGAGCAUGCUGAGAGACCAUUUAUUUUGUUUAUUGAGCCUCAGAUUAUAAUAAUUUCUAGAUACAAGUGACUGUGCCUUGGAGCAGUUGGUCAUGGACCUGACUAAAGGGGACACAACCUUGAGCUUAAUCCUGAGUGGUAUCCCAGAUAAGGAGUGAGAUGCAAGUAUUCUCUAACACAUCAGGAACAUGCUGCUAUCAAAUUCAACACAUUCUUCAGAGGACAUCUGAGGAACUAAAUCAAAUGGAGCAUUGCAACAGCUGCCACAGCAGCACCCUUAGCAGCAAGCAUAGCCACGAACUCAACUAGAGCAACUUCAGCCACAUUUUGACUGAGUAUACCUUGCAAUGCAGAGCAGACCAGAGCAAAGAUUAGGCAGAUGCAAAGGAACUAGACUUCUAUGUCCUGCUAGUUUUCAAGACAAUUGCAUGACAACAAUUCAGUGGCAUCCUACUUACUGCAGCUGUUUCUUCUUUUCUUUUUUAAUGUUACUUUACCUGGUGACAGAGCUCUUCCCACUGUCUAUGCAGAAGCUCGAUGCGCUCACUGAGAACUGAGAUGUCAUCUGCACUGAUACACAUUGACAGGGUCUCCUUCAACAAAAUCAGGUGGGCAAGAUCAUCUGUCCACCCCUCAGCAGCACUCUCUAGUUCCUAAAUUUUAAGAAGAAUUUCUAUGAAGCACAGGGAAACUUGUGAAUUAGACUCUUUUUAAAGUAAUAUAAUGUAACAUAAUGUCUAGUUGGCUCUUAACUGUUCAGCAUUUAAAAAACCUUCCAAUCAUAGAAAGAGCUACUUGAGUGUGAACCUACUUUCAGUAAGUUGCUAUUUCAACCAUAAUUCAAUUUAGUGGGAGAAUACCUGCCACAUGAACCUGACAGAGGUUGCUGCUGCUAUCAUGGCUCAAAUAUGGGAGGAGGAAAGGGAUAUUUUACAAGGGUUCAGAGGUUCAGUGAAGCCCAUCUGGGCUGUAAGCCAUUUACCAUGAGGAAAAAAAAUUGAGGCUAAAUUGUAAAUCUCACUGGAGGAUGUCUAUGCAAAUUUAUGUUCCUGUAUUUAGAUGGGGUGGUCCAGAAAGUGUAAGGUUUUGUGAGAUUUGCUGAGGCCAAUCAAGAAUGAAGCAUCAUGAGAAUCAGGUAUACUGAGAUCCUAGGGACAGUUGGAGGGAACCAGGGCAACUGAUAGGAUCUCCAGGCCCAAGACCAUAAAGCUCAAAGAGCUUAUAUGUCUCCCAUCCAGCACUGAUAAGAUCCACAACUGCUUAGCUGCGGCAUUGCUCCUUUUUAUUCUCUCACCUUUUAAGAGAAUGGGAGUUCCAAGAGUUAUACUUCCUUAUUCUUUUCUCUGUUUAUUAUUGUCAGCAUAACUGCAGGUGAGACUCCUACAUUUCCCUAUCCCCCUGUGGAGUUAUUUUCUGCCAGUUACUGUGAGUUCACAGCACUUGAUAUCCAGCCUGCAAUGUUUAGACUACACGUCUGUAGAUAAGGUUUGACUUCAACAGUAAGCAAUAUGAAAAUUCAAGAGCUCCCUAAAGAACAGGCAUACAUAAAUUCUGGAGCAGCAUCUGGUAUAUGAAUGGCAAUUAAAUAUAGAUCAUGAGGACACAAUCAGGUACUGGGUUGCAGAUUUUUUAUAGUUAACCAUUAAUUAGAAUAUAGGAACCACUGAUGUGUGAAAACAACCUUUUCUAGUAUUCAUUUUUUCACCUUCAGUGAAGUACUGCAAUUAAUUCCAGCAUUAUACAAUUCAAGAAAAUGCUCCUUAAUUAAAAUGGUAAAGUAACUACACAUUUGGAAAGAUUUACCUGCAAU